AGACGCGACAGUCUGUCAGUUACCAGAGACGCGACAGUCUGUCAGUUACCAGAGACGCGACAGUCUGUCAGUUACCAGAGACGCGACAGUCUGUCAGUUACCAGAGACGCGACAGUCUGUCAGUUACCAGAGACGCGACAGUCUGUCAGUUACCAGAGACGCGACAGUCUGUCAGUUACCAGAGACGCGACAGUCUGUCAGUUACCAGAGACGCGACAGAAGGUCAGUUACGAGAGACGCGACAGAAGGUCAGUUACCAGAGAGACGCGACAGAAGGUCAGUUACCAGAGAGACGCGACAGAAGGUCAGUUACCAGAGAGACGCGACAGAAGGUCAGUUACCAGAGAGACGCGACAGAAGGUCAGUUACCAGAGAGACGCGACAGAAGGUCAGUUACCAGAGAGACGCGACAGAAGGUCAGUUACCAGAGAGACGCGACAGAAGGUCAGUUACCAGAGAGACGCGACAGAAGGUCAGUUACCAGAGAGACGCGACAGAAGGUUAGUUACCAGAGAGACGCGACAGAAGGUUAGUUACCAGAGAGACGCGACAGAAGGUUAGUUACCAGAGAGACGCGACAGAAGGUUAGUUACCAGAGAGACGCGACAGAAGGUUAGUUACCCAAUGUGUUGGUAUUUGUCAGACUU